GUAAGGUGCAAACGUUGUUCGGGAAUCACUGGGCGUAAAGGGUACGCAGGCGGCCAGAUAAGUUAGGGGGGGUGAAAUCUCGAAGCUCAACUUCGAAAUUGCCUUUAAAACUGUUUGGCUAGAGUUGUAAUAGGGGUGGCAGGAAUUCCUGGUGUAGGAGUGAAAUCUGUAGAUAUCAGGAGGAACACCAAUAGCGAAGGCAAGCCACUGGGUAACAACUGACGCUCAGGUACGAAAGCUAGGGGAGCAAAUGGGAUUAGAGACCCCAGUAGUCCUAGCUGUAAACGCUGCACACUAGCUUUAUGGACAUUUUGACUAUAUAGCAAAGCUAACGCGUUAAGUGUGCCGCCUGGGGAGUAUGCACGCAAGUGUG
rnacentral:rRNA from 1 species